UACGAAGGGGGCUAGCGUUGCUCGGAAUCACUGGGCGUAAAGGGUGCGUAGGCGGGUUUUAAGUCAGGGGUGAAAUCCUGGAGCUCAACUCCAGAACUGCCUUUGAUACUGAGAAGCUUGAGUCCGGGAGAGGUGAGUGGAACUGCGAGUGUAGAGGUGAAAUUCGUAGAUAUUCGCAAGAACACCAGUGGCGAAGGCGGCUCACUGGCCCGGUACUGACGCUGAGGUGCGAAAGCGUGGGGAGCAAACAGG
rnacentral:rRNA from 1 species